rnacentral:rRNA from 1 species
GACAGAGGGUGCAAACGUUGUUCGGAAUUACUGGGCGUAAAGCGCGUGUAGGCGGCAAGGCAAGUCGGAUGUGAAAGCCCGCGGCUCAACCGUGGAAGUGCACUCGAAACUGCCUAGCUAGAGUCUCGGAGAGGAAGGUGGAAUGCUUGGUGUAGAGGUGAAAUUCGUAGAUAUCAAGCAGAACACCUGUGGCGAAGGCGGCCUUCUGGACGAUGACUGACGCUGAGACGCGAAAGCGUGGGGAGCAAACGGG